GUUUUAAUAGUUUAAAUUAAAAAUUUAGAUCUUGUAAAUCUAAGAUAAAUUGUAUUUUAAAACU
rnacentral:tRNA from 1 species